rnacentral:lncRNA from 1 species
GCGACCACUACACUGCAUCAACAUUACCGCCAUUGUAAACCCUAAACCGAAACCACAAACCACCCUUGGACAUGGUUUGAAUAGUUUCUGGAACCAGUUUGGGUUUGAGAAUAACAAACGGCAAACCAGUUUAGGUUCGAAACUAGUUUCAAACUGGUUCUCAUUAACAAAUGGAAAGUUUAACAAACUAAAACUGGUUUUGCACUAACUAAUACGCC